rnacentral:lncRNA from 1 species
UAUCUUGGGGACCUGCUGUUACCUCCUCAGUCUGAAAAGAAGGUGCAGGGAUGAGCAGAGGGCUCAGUCAGUAGGGCUGAGAAGUUCUGUUAGUGCUGCUUUAGCUGCUUGACACCUCCUGGUCAUCUUAACUAAGACAGUGGUGAGGUUACAUGCGAUGUACUCUCUUUUACAUUAGUAGCUGUGGCUACCAGCCACAUGGUUGCUAUUUAACAUCAUUUAUUUUCCUAAAUAAGAGUCAAGUCACACAUAAAACACACUAAGAUUACCUAUGUGUAGUAGGUUUUAAUACGCUUGGCCCAUGGGAAGUGGCACUAUUAGAAGGCGUGGGCUUAUUGGAGGAGGUAUAGCCUUGUUAAAAGAAGUAUGUCACUUGGGGGUGGGUUUUGAGGUUUCCUCCACCCAGCUCCACCCAGUGUGGAAGAAAACCUCCUCCUUGUUGCCUGUGGAAGCUAGUCUCUGGCUCCCUUUGAAUCAAGCUGUAGAACUCUCAGUUCCUUCUCUAGCACCAUGUCUGCCUGGAUGCUGCCAUGCUUUCUGCCAUGAUGAUAGUGGACUGAACUUUGGACCUGUAAGCCAGCCCCAACUAAAUGUUUACCUUUAAAA